UUAAAUCAAUCAAAGUGUUGAUCAGUUUGCUCUUGUUCUUUUGGUUUGCACUAGGAUGUGAAAGGAAAAGAAUCCCAGCGCUUUCUGUCUGUCUCUGUGGUAUCCAGGUUGAAUUUUUAAAAAUUUUU